GGAAGGUUUUCUUUUGUUCCCUGUCUCCCUUCCACUUCCCCACCACCUAUCCCUAGGGCGGACCCACCACCUGUUUAGUGGUUUUGACUCGCCCACAGCGCCCCCAUAGGGCAACUCUCAGACUGUCAUACACCGCCUUACUGUACUGAUUCCUUCACACCUAUUCACCUGCUUGGGAACAGCAGCGAUGAUUCCGUGUCCGUAUCCCUGCACACAGCAAAAUAAUAACAACGCACUUAAUGGAUGAAUGGGUUUGGAUUCCAAGUCAACUUACUAGCACCACUUUUCUUGGGCAAGUUCUUUCCUCGUGAAGACCCGGGUUUCCUUCUCUGUGAGAUGGGGAGACUAACAACCACCUCCCUGGUCGUUGUGAGGAAUCAAGGGGGUAACACUUGUGACGGGCACGGCAGCACACUGGAGGCACGCAGUAGGUCCACAGGUCAGAUUCAGUGACUCUCUCCCAGACCCGCCGACAGAUGGAAGGAGCCUAGCCUCUGUGCGGCAGGGGCGCCGGGAGGUACGCUGCCCCCAAGGUACCGCUCCGCAUUCCUGGCUGUCCCUUAAACCCAUUCCCUCAGGGACCUGUCCUGUAACCUGAGGCUCAGAUGCUGCUUACAAGGCAGAUCUCAGGGAGGGAGGAGAAGGGAAGCGCUUCGGGCUGGUCAUCGGUCACUGAAACCUCAGUGUGAACUAGUCCCCCAUCAUCCUUCCAAUGGAGGAGUGAGGUAGACAGGACAGUGAGGCAGGGGUGGGGAUGGAAUACGGAGAGGGUGAGGAGGGCGUUGGGAAUGUUGGGGCGCAGAAGAAUCCGGAGCGGCUGCCUGGUACACGGGGAAACAUUGCCGAAGUCAGAGAGAGAUCAGGGUUCAAGUCUGGACUUUUCCAGCUGCUGGAAGUGUGGCUGGAGGCAAGGUACUUAAGCUGUUUGUAGUUUUCUGAUCUGUAAAAUGGGGCGGAUACUAGCUAAUUUGGGGGUACGUCUGAGGGUAGAGGGAGGCAACCUGGAAAGGGCUUAGUCGGUGGUGAUCGGGAGGCGCGCUGGGCGCCGAGGACUGGGCCCUGCAGGCUGGAUUCACCACCGAGCAGCAGGAGGUGGCCCCUCUAGAUUGCGGUUACCGGUUCCCUUCUCUCGGCUGGAUCUCCCGGGCUCUGCUCUUUGUCUGGGGCCAGCUGUGCCCACAGUGACAGCCACCUACAUUCAUUCGUUGUGAGAGAAUGCACCUUCUCCCACCUCCCACCCCGAACGGGGAGCAGAGGCGAGCCUACGAUACUCUUUCCUUCCAGCUCCAGGAAGGAAAGGGUGAAACAUUCCACGGUCCCCUAGAACGCUGGGAGAAAACACCGGAGAAAGACGGAAGCAUGUGAUUCCUGAAUUAAGAAGUUCUUCACGCCCCUAUUCCAGACCUCCUGCCUGCCUGGGCUCCCAUGCAAGCCCUCGUGCUCAAUGACUCCCUACAUGCCUUCGGCGAAGAGUGGCAUAGACCCAUUUCCACAAGUCAUGGCAUAGACCCAUUUCCCCCACACUGGCAACUGGCACCAGGGAACCUCAUCAUCUUAGCACCUUUUGCCUGGAUUUCUGCAAGGUCUAGGUCUCGUAUGGAAGUCAUGAGACAAGACCAUUGUACUCCUAGCGCUUAAGGUAGAGACAGACACGCAGCGGGUGCUCACGGCUUCUCAACUGCCUCCCUAUUGCCAAUGGCCAACCAGCGACGGCCCGACGGCAAAGAUUUUACCACCGUUGGCCAAGUAUGAAUUGUGAACCAGCAUG